rnacentral:misc_RNA from 1 species
GAUGAAGAACGCAGCGAAAUGCGAUACGUAAUGUGAAUUGCAAAUUCAGUGAAUCAUCGAGUCUUUGAACGCACAUUGCGCCCCCUGGUAUUCCGGGGGGCAUGCCUGUCCGAGCGUCAUUGCUGCCCUCAAGCACGGCUUGUGUGUUGGGCCCCGUCCUCCGAUCCCGGGGGACGGGCCCGAAAGGCAGCGGCGGCACCGCGUCCGGUCCUCGAGCGUAUGGGGCUUUGUCACCCGCUCUGUAGGCCCGGCCGGCGCUUGCCGAUCAACCCAAAUUUUUUAUUCAGGUUGACCUCGGAUCAGGUAGGGAUACCCGCUGAACUUAAGCAUAUCAAUAAGCGGAGGA